UUUGAAAUUUAAUUAAAUCGUAUUAUUUGAUCAAUCGUAUUUUUGGGACAAACGUGGUUUACCUCUUCUCUCUCCUUCUGAAGUCGCCAUCUGAAAACUCUUUUCUCCCACCGACGCCGGCCUCACGCCGUGUGGUCGGAAAUUUCUUUUGAUGCCCAAGAAGAAGAAGAAGCCCCUCCGUGGGCUGGUCCCUGGUACUUCUAAGUUCGGUGCCGUCUUAGCGCGUGCUUCAGCUCCCCUCGCCGUCAAAGGUCGUUCUUCUUUUCCUCCGACCUCUCCUCUGCCCCUGGUUGUCUCUCCAGCGAUUCCUGCCUCAGAUCCGUCGCCUCUUAGUGCAGAUCUGUCCCAGAUUGUUGCCUCGUUAGUCGUGCAAAGCUCAGUUACGCCUUGUCCCUCUGAAAUUGCUCGCCCCUCUGAUGAUAUCUCCGCCUCCGGUGUUGAGACGUCAGUUUCCUCAGCUGUUAACAAGUUGUUGACGGUUGUCACAAAUGCCCAAUCGACUGUCGUUUCGACGGACUUGGCCAUAUCCUCUCAGGAGAAGCUCGUGACUGAGGUAGUCACCGCUCCUGCCCCUCCUCUCCCGUGUGUUGUGGAAGUAGAAGCACCGACUCCGGGUAGAAUUGUGAGUGCUACUGUGGAGCAGGUUUCUGUUCCAGCAACUGAACCAAAAUCCCCUAGAUCCGAUUCUUGGGUUGAUUUAGUGAAGGGGUCUUCAAAGAAACUCUCUAAAAAAGGUUCAGGCUUCACUUUUCCCUCUGGAGAGCUUUGUAUCGAAAUCCCAAACGCUGUGAUUGAGAGAAAUAAAAAGUCUUGGGAUAGCUUUAUUCUGGGGCAAUUUUACUCUGAUCCUCCCUCUCAGGGAACCCUUCACAACAUUGUUAAUGGUAUUUGGAGCAGAUAAUAUAGGGACAUUUCAGUAUCAAAAAUGGAAGGCAAUGCCUUUCUCUUCCGAAUCCCAAACUCUUUCACUAGGAGUAGGGUUUUGAAUCAGAGGUUAUGGCAAAUCGAAGGCCAAACAAUGUUUGUUGCUAAUUGGGAGCCUGGUGUCGUUCCAGUUAAGCCAGAACUCUCCUCUGCCCCUAUUUGGCUUGAGCUAAGGAAUGUUCCUUUCCAGUUUUUUAAUGAGGAUGGUCUUGAGCGCAUUGCGGGACUGGUUGGAGAUCCCAAAUUCUUGCAUCCCUCCACUGCAAAUAAAACGAAUCUUGAUGUGGCAAAAGUCUUUACGAUAAUCGAUCCGAAGAAACCAUUACCUGAGGCAGUCAACGUCCGUUUCCAAUCCGGUGACAUAUGUAGGGUUUUGGUUUCCAGCCCAUGGAUGCCUCCAAUUUGUUCUCAUUGUAAGGAGAUUGGCCACACUCUGAAACACUGUAAGGCUGCUCCUAUCACUUGCACCGCUUGCUCCUCCACAGCUCAUGUCUAUGAUGGCUGCCCAAAGUUGAGUGUGUCUGGUAUUAAGAAGCGCCGAAGCAGGAGGGUUAGGAGAUCCAAAUCCCCUGCCCUUGUUCCAUUCAUUGAUUCGGAAAAAGAAAAGGCUAAAGGUUUAUCUAGCAAAGAAUGGCAGGUUAAAGUCCCUCCUAGAGUCUCUAUGGUGUCUUCUCCUACUGGUGUUGGUGAUGCUGGGAGUGUCGAGGAGUUUCUCUCUGUUGGCAGGCCUCUAGGAGUGGGAAAGGAUCGGUUUCAAGGUGAAUCAAGCAAUAGUGCCCUGGUUAGUGCUUUGUCUGAUAAUAGUAUGGCUGUUGGGCGUGAGCAACCUGUUCUUUCAGAAGGGGACGUUGAAGAGGAUUCGUCUGAUGUUUUGUCGACUGAUUCAGAAGAGGAGAGAUUUAUCAGGGUGCUGUCUAAGAGGCAGCAGAAGAUCCAAAGAGGCAAGAGCCUCAAAUCAUCUCAUUAAUAUGUGUACACCAAUUUUUUGUUGGAAUGUCCGUGGUUUUAACAUUCCUAGUCAUCGUAGCGGCUUUAAAAAAUGGUUUAAGGUCAAUAGGCCUAUUUUUGGAGGCGUCAUAGAGACGCACGUGAAGCAACCAAAGGACAAGAAGUUUAUUAAUGCUCUGCUGCCUGGUUGGUUUUUUGAUGAGAACUAUGGUUUCUCAGAUUUAAGGAAGAUAUGGGUGUUAUGGGACCCAUCUGUUGAGGUUGUUAUUGUUGCCAAAUCGUUGCAGAUGAUCACUUGCGAGGUUCUUCUCCCUAAUUCUCGCACUUGGAUUGUUAUCUCUGUGGUAUAUGCGGCCAACGAAGAUGAUAAGAGAAAAGAGUUAUGGAGAGAGAUCACUGCUUUGGGAGCUUCUCCGGUCACUUUUAAUAGACCUUGGAUCAUGCUAGGAGAUUUUAAUCAGGUUCUUCAUCCUCAUGAGCACUCUAGGCAUGUUUCACUCAAUGUGGAUAGGAGGAUAAGAGACUUCAGAGAAUGUUUGUUGGAUGCUGAACUGUCUGAUCUUGUUUACAAGGGCAGCUCUUUCACUUGGUGGAAUAAAAGUAGAACUAGACCAGUUGCAAAGAAGAUAGAUCGCAUCUUAGUAAAUGAGAGCUGGUCCAACUUAUUCCCAUCCUCUUUUGGUUUGUUUGGUCCGCCAGAUUUUUCAGAUCAUGCAUCUUGUGGUGUUGUGCUGGAAUUAGACCCGAUCAAAGCGAAGCGGCCCUUCAAGUUCUUUAACUUUUUGUUGAAAAACCCGGAGUUUUUAAAUUUGGUGUGGGAUGUUUGGUACUCGACUAAUGUGGUGGGAUCGUCUAUGUUCCGGGUGUCAAAGAAGCUUAAGGCUCUGAAGAAACCAAUCAAAGACUUUAGCAGGCUGAAUUAUUCAAACUUUGAAAAAAGAACUGAGGAGGCUCAUGAGACUCUUUUGAGUUUUCAAAAUCUUACUCUUGAUAAUCCCUCCCUGGAAAAUGCUGCUCAUGAAUUAGAGGCUCAACGUAAAUGGCAGAUCCUUGCCACUGCUGAAGAGAGCUUUUUUCGUCAACGUUCCUGAGUGACUUGGUUUGCGGAGGGUGAUGGCAACACACGUUAUUUUCACAGAAUGGCUGAUUCGAGGAAAUCUGUUAACACUAUCACUACUUUAGUGGAUGAUUCAGGGACCCAAAUUGACUCGCAACAAGGCAUCGCUGACCACUGUGCUCUUUAUUUUGAAAAUCUCUUGAGUGAUGAUAUCGACCCUUAUUCGUUGGAGCAAGAUGACAUGAAUUUGCUGCUUACUUACAGAUGUCCCGGUUCUCAGGUGGCUGAUUUGGAAGCCAUGUUCUCUGAUGAAGAUAUCAAGGCUGCUUUCUUUGGUCUCCCUAGUAACAAAGCUUGUGGCCCGGAUGGCUUUCCGGUUGAGUUCUUUAAGGCAGCUUGGAGUUGCAUUGGUGCUGAGGUCACCGCUGUUGUGAGAGAAUUUUUUAUUUCGGGUAACUUGCUUAAGCAAUGGAAUGCAACUACCAUUUUUCUCAUUCCCAAGUUUCCUAAUGCCUCUUGUACUUCAGAUUUUAGACCUAUCUCUUGCAUGAAUACCCUGUACAAAGUCAUUGCCAGGCUUCUCACAGAUCGUCUUCAGAAGCUGCUCUCUUGUGUUAUCUCUCCUUCUCAAUCAGCUUUUCUCCCUGGAAGGCUCCUCGCUGAGAAUGUCUUGCUUGCCACUGAGAUGGUUCACGGAUACAAUUGGAGGAACAUCUCUCCGAGAGGUAUGUUAAAGGUGGAUCUUCGAAAAGCUUUUGAUUCGGUGCGUUGGGAAUUUAUCAUUGCAGCUUUGCUUGCUCUUGGGGUCCCUACUAAGUUCAUUAAUUGGAUUCACCAAUGCAUUUCCACACCAACUUUCACUGUCUCUGUAAAUGGUUGUUGUGGUGGUUUUUUCAAGAGUGCUAAAGGGCUGAGACAGGGUGACCCUCUUUCUCCCUACCUUUUCGUUCUUGCAAUGGAAGUCUUCUCAAAGUUGCUCCAUUCUCGGUUUGACUCAGGUUACAUUCGCUACCACCUGAAAGCUUCUGAUCUCUACAUCUCUCAUUUGAUGUUCGCCGACGAUGUUAUGAUAUUCUUUGAUGGUGGUAGUUCUUCCUUGCACGGUAUUUGUGAGACUCUUGAGGACUUUGCUUCUUGGUCUGGACUAAAGGUGAACAAAGAUAAAAGUCAUUUUUUUUGUGCUGGUCUAGAGCAGGCUGAGAGAAACUCUUUGGCGGCCUAUGGUUUUCCGCAAGGCUGCCUCCCUAUCCGGUAUCUUGGGCUUCCGCUUAUGUGUAGGAAGUUGCGCAUCGCUGAGUAUGAGCCUCUCCUGGAAAAAAUCUCCAAAAAAUUCAGAUCAUGGGCAACAAAUUGUUUAUCUUACGCAGGUAGAGUUCAACUUAUUGCUUCCGUUAUCUAUGGUACCGUCAACUUUUGGAUGUCCACUUUCUUGCUGCCAAAGGGUUGCAUUAAGAAGAUUGAAAGCCUUUGUGCUAGGUUCCUUUGGGCGGGAAACAUUGAUGGUAGUAGAGGAGCAAAGGUCUCUUGGUUUGCUCUUUGCCUCCCAUAAAAUGAAGGUGGGCUUGGCCUUAGAAGAUUCUCCGAGUGGAACAAAACGCUUUGUUUGCGUCUUAUUUGGCUUCUCUUUAAUCAUCAAGGUUCGCUUUGGGUUUCUUGGCACUCUCAUCACCAUCUUAGAAGCAGGUCUUUUUGGGAUGUGGCUCCAUCCCCAUCAGAUCCUUGGUCUUGGCGUAUGCUCUUGUUCCUUAGACCUUUGGCGGAGCAGUUUGUUAAAUGCAACUUGGGUAAUGGCCGCAUAGCUCACUUCUGGCAUGACAGUUGGACUUCCCUUGGUCCGCUGAUAAAGGUUAUGGGUGAUUAUAGCUCAAGAUCACUUCGCAUCCCUCUUAACGCUAGGGUGGUUGAGGCUUUUGGGGUUAAUGGUUGGAAGCUCCCCCUUUCUCGGUCUGGUCCAGCUCAAGCCAUCCAUGACCACAUCUCUACCAUCACGACCCCCUCUCCUGCUACAAUUGAAGACUCCUUUGAUUGGGUUGUUGGUGGUGUUGUUUGUCAAGGUUUCGGCAAGGACCUGGGAUGCUAUUAGACCAAGAGCACCGGAAUUGGACUGGGCAAAGGCUGUUUGGUUCAAGGGUGUUGUUCCUAAGCAUGCCUUCAACAUGUGGAUUAGUCAGUUGGAUAGACUCCCAACUCGUCAAAGGCUAGCCUCUUGGGGCCAUAUCCAGUCUUUCGAUUGUUGCUUAUGCACUAUUGAGACUGAAUCCAGAGACCAUCUCCUUUUUUCCUGUGAAUUUGCGGCUCAAGUUUGGAGAUUAGCGUUUUCUCGCUUAUGUCCGCGACAGAGGCUGUUUUGCUCUUGGGCAGAGCUCCUCUCUUGGAUGCGUUCUUCCUCUUCUUCGGCGCCUUCCCUCCUCAGAAAAGUCUCAGCCCAUGCUAUCAUUUUGGCGUCAGCGCAACAAUGUCCUCCAUAACAAUCUUAGGAUCGCUCCUCUUAUCAUCUUCAAGAUUGUCGACCGCGAGAUUCGUAACAUCAUCUCCUCUCGCUACCACAGAAAGAGAUGGCGCAACCUCAUGGUGCUUUGGAUUCGCUAACCUUAUAUCUUCCCUAAAUCUCUAUUGUAGCCUUGUUUUAUUUUUUGCCUCGGCUACUCUAGUAUAGGCCUUUCGUUUUUGUAAAAGCCUCUUAUUCAUAUAAUGAAAAUUAACAUUUUUAGCAAAAAAAAAAGAAUUAUAAAUAAAAAA
rnacentral:sRNA from 1 species